rnacentral:rRNA from 1 species
AUUGAACGCUGGCGGCAGGCCUAACACAUGCAAGUCGAGCGGAGCGGCGGACGGGUGCGUAAUGCUUAGGAAUCUGCCUGGUAGUGGGGGAUAACGUCCGGAAACGGGCGCUAAUACCGCAUACUAUCAGAUGAGCCUAGGUCGGAUUCGCUAGAUGGUGUGGUAAAGGCCUACCAAGGCGACGAUCCGUAACUGGUCUGAGAGGAGGAUCAGUCACACUGGAACUGAGACACGGUCCAGACUCCUACGGGAGGCAGCAGUGGGGAAUAUUGGACAAUGGGCGAAAGCCUGAUCCAGCCAUGCCGCGUGUGUGAAGAAGGUCUUCGGGUUGUAAAGCACUUUAAGUUGGGAGGCGUUACCAGCAGAAGAAGCACCGGCUAACUUCGUGCCAGCAGCCGCGGUAAUUC